GACAGAGGGGGCAAGCGUUGCUCGGAAUUACCGGGCGUAAAGGGCGCGUAGGCGGCUUGGCAAGUGGAAGGUGAAAUCCCUCGGCUUAACCGAGGAACUGCCCUCCAAACUGCUUGGCUUGAGACCGGGAGAGGUGAGUGGAAUUCCCAGUGUAGCGGUGAAAUGCGUAGAUAUUGGGAGGAACACCAGUGGCGAAGGCGGCUCACUGGACCGGUACUGACGCUGAGGCGCGAAGGCCAGGGUAGCGAAAGGG
rnacentral:rRNA from 1 species